UUGAGAUAACUGUUUUUAACCUCCUGCUACUCCAUUUUUGUCUUUUUUGGGAGGUUAUAGACAUUAAGUAACAAAGAUAGUUGACUGACUAUGUGUUUCUUAGUGCUGCCAUGGUGAAUUAAUCAUUUCUACAAUGAUCUCUGUGCCAAGGUUCCUUGGAGUUUGCUUCACUUUUUUUUCUGGUCACUACUGUAUUUGUGACUAAUCACCUCUGUUACUUUAGAGCCUCACAUCCUCAGAGAUAUGUAUGAAUCCAGCUUCGUAAUUGCUGCCAACACCAUAAUCUGUAGUAUCCAGAGGAGAACUACAACUAAAAUUCUUAAUGUAGCUGGUGACUCUCACCAGUGGUGUUGGUGCAUUGUUUGUUCCUUUGCAUUUUCUGAAAAUAAUCUCUGGUGAGUCUUUGGGUCUCACAUAAUAUUUCAUUUCUCUACUCCCACUGCCUUGAAACUCUUUAUUCUUUUCUCUAACACCUAUUACUAAAAAUCAGGAAUAUCCACCAUAAUCACCAUUAUUCAGCAAUUUCUCUAUGCUUCUAAGAGUCACCAUCCCAGUGAGUUUGCUCCAUCCUCCUGAGACUGUUCUCAGAUUAUUAGCUACAGUGUUCCAAAUACAAGCACUCAUAAAGAAUUCUCAAUUAUGCAGACUUUCAUCUGCUCCUGUUUAUAGUGCAUCCUCAAAAUUCAUAUGCAAUUAAAAACACCAAUAUUCUGGCUCCUAGUUAGCUCCUCCAAUGCCAAAACCAUUCCUCCUUAUCAGAAAAGUCACAUAACCAGAUGGGUUGGUUAUGCUCGUGUUUAACACUGUAUAGCUGCUUGAAGGAGAGGAAGUGGGGGCAGCUCCAAAGGCAUCUGUCUUUUGCUUGUCAGUGUGGGUAAAGAGUAAAAUUCUUCUGCAUCAUUUUCCAGUACAGAGGAAGAGUUAGUUCUUAGUAGAGAAGUAUGGGUUGUGACUGUAAUCUCUGAACAUUCACAGGGCUCUGCAGAGCCAACUUCUUCAGAAACGUUCUUCUCAGUUUCUUGGACACAUAUUUAGAUCUUAGGUUUUCUCAAGCAAGGCUCCUGUUUUUUCAUAACACACAUGCCUUGAAUAAGCAUUUAGACGUCUCUGGAGUUCUGCAAGUUUGUCAGAUCUCUGGUGUACUGUUUGGCUAUUUAUGUUUUUCUGCUGCAGGAAAUAAAGGACUUGCUAUCAAAGAGACAUUCUACUUUCACACUUACUCUUUAGCUUUAAAUUAUCCUUCUCCGUAUGAUUAACAUAACCUAGCAAUAAAGAGCCAACUCUGUUUUCUUCGUAGUCUUUAUUAACUUCAUAUCUUUCAAAUAUACAGAAAAUAUGAACUACAAGGAAAUCAACCUAGGAUAUCUUCACAGUUCAGCACUGGUGAAAUCACCAGGAACUGGAUUGCCACCUUUUCUCAGGCACUAUUUGUGUCUCACAUACCAUACAGAAAAGCAUUCUCCUUGGCUAUCAGAUGUUGAAGCCUGAACUGAAUUAUGAUGGCAUUUGGAGGUGAGACCUUUGAGAAGCAAUUAAGUGGAGCCCUACUAAAUGGCAUUGGUCCUUUUACAGAAAGAGUCCAGAGAACCAGCUCAUUCUUUUCACAAUGUUCAGAAAAAGUUACAUUCAACCACUUAUGAGAGAUGAAAUGGAGUAAAUAUGAGUGUUGCUACAUAAAAAAAUAAAUAAAUAAAUG